UCCCUGCUGGCUCAGAUGGUAAAGCAUCUGCCUGCAAUGCAGGAGACCCGGGUUCGAUCCCUGGGUCAGGAC
rnacentral:tRNA from 1 species